UAAAUCAUCUGAUUCCAGAGAAAUGGGUUAC
rnacentral:piRNA from 1 species